UUUUUGCUUCUUCUGCUUCCUUUGUUAAUUUUCUGCACAUGCUUUCUCUCUCACUCAAAACCGUGAGCAACCCAUCCAUUUUCACCUUCAUUUUCUUCCAUUUUCAUCCAUUUUCAUCCCCAAAUCAACCAUUCAAACUAAUACCCAUGCAUUUCAUCUUCAUUAAACACUUCUCCAUCAUGAUUUCUUCACUUGUUUUUCAUCAUUUCAUCAUUGUCUCUCACGCGUGAACAGUACCUUCAUUAUUCAUCCAUUAUCUUUCACUCAUUUUCUUGUUAAAAUCAAUCAUCCAAAUCAUUAUUCAUCCAUUACUCCUUCAAUUUUCGUUCUCAAAACUUCAUUUCAUCAACUCUCCACAUAAAACCCAAAAUCAAAAACCUAACUCUACCCGUUUCUCUCUCUACAUUUUCAAGCUUCCUUUAGCCCAUUUUUGAUCCAAUCUACAUCAUAUAUUAGCUUCAUUCAUCUCCA
rnacentral:lncRNA from 1 species